rnacentral:rRNA from 1 species
AUACGGAGGUUGCGAGCGUUGUUCGGAUUUACUGGGCGUAAAGGGAGCGCAGGCGGCUUGGUCAGUCUAAAGUGAAAGUCCGGGGCUCAACCCCGGAAGUGCUUUGGAUACUACCAAGCUUGAGUACGUGAGAGGUGAGUGGAAUUCCAGGUGUAGCGGUGAAAUGCGUAGAUAUCUGGAGGAACACCGGUGGCGAAGGCGGCUCACUGGCACGAAACUGACGCUGAGGCUCGAAAGCGUGGGGAGCGAACGGGAUUAGAAACCCCAGUAGUCC